rnacentral:rRNA from 1 species
UACCAGCACCCCGAGUGGUCGGGACGUUUAUUGGGCCUAAAGCAUCCGUAGCCGGUUCUUUAAGUCCUCCGUUAAAUCCACCUGCUUAACAGAUGGGCUGCGGAGGAUACUAUAGAGCUAGGAGGCGGGAGAGGCAAGCGGUACUCAGUGGGUAGGGGUAAAAUCCGUUGAUCCAUUGAAGACCACCAGUGGCGAAGGCGGCUUGCCAGAACGCGCUCGACGGUGAGGGAUGAAAGCUGGGGGAGCAAACCGG